UACGGGGGGGCAAGCGUUGUUCGGAAUUAUUGGGCGUAAAGAGCUCGUAGGCGGUUUGUCGCGUCUGCCGUGAAAGUCCGGGGCUCAACUCCGGAUCUGCGGUGGGUACGGGCAGACUAGAGUGAUGUAGGGGAGACUGGAAUUCCCGGUGUAGUGGUGAAAUGCGUAGAUAUCGGGAGGAACACCAGUGGCGAAGGCGACUUCUGGCCUGUUCUUGACGCUGAGGCGCGAAAGCUAGGGGAGCAAACGGG
rnacentral:rRNA from 1 species